AGGGAAUCUUCCGCAAUGGACGAAAGUCUGACGGAGCAACGCCGCGUGAGCGAUGAAGGUCUUCGGAUCGUAAAGCUCUGUUGUUAGGGAAGAACAAGUGCCGGAGUAACUGUCGGCACCUUGACGGUACCUAACCAGAAAGCCACGGCUAACUACGUGCCAGCAGCCGCGGUAAUACGUAGGUGGCAAGCGUUGUCCGGAAUUAUUGGGCGUAAAGCGCGCGCAGGCGGUCCUUUAAGUCUGAUGUGAAAUCUUGCGGCUCAACCGCAAGCGGUCAUUGGAAACUGGGGGACUUGAGUGCAGGAGAGGAAAGCGGAAUUCCAUGUGUAGCGGUGAAAUGCGUAGAGAUAUGGAGGAACACCAGUGGCGAAGGCGGCUUUCUGGUCUGUAACUGACGCUGAGGCGCGAAAGCGUGGGGAGCAAAC
rnacentral:rRNA from 1 species